CUCCACCAACAGACAAGGUGAACAUACUAGCCAUGUGAAUGAAUCAUCUUGGAAGCAGAUCUUCCAGACACAAUCAAACCUUCAUAUGACUGUAGUCUCAGCUGAAAUCUUGACUCUUGAGAGAGCCUGAGCUAAAAUGAAAGCUCACACUCCUAAAUUCUUGAUCCACAGAAACUGUGUGAGCUUUUGGUUCCAGAGGGCCAUAGUCUUCAUAUACUUCAGCACUCCAUGAAGGCUUUCUUGGUACUGUUCAAAGGCCAGAGGAUCUACUACCACAGAACCAUUCUAGAUGUGAGUUCCUAGUGUGAAAGGACUGGGAGUUAACAGAAGAGCCACAGUGAGCCAUAUCUUUGUGAAGCUGCCUUUUCUUCAUAUACUUCAACCAAAAUUUCAUAUUGCAGCAGGUUGAAUGCUGAAGUACAUAUCAGAAUCCAGCAUUCUUCUAUUAAGCCAGACACUGAAGAGAUUUGCAAAAAUAUAAAACAAUGCAAUUCUUCUCAUUAACAUUA
rnacentral:lncRNA from 1 species